CAGUCGCCACGGGAAUACGAAGGGUGCAAGCGUUAAUCGGAAUUACUGGGCGUAAAGCGUGCGUAGGCGGUGAGUUAAGUCUGCUGUGAAAUCCCCGGGCUCAACCUGGGAAUGGCAGUGGAUACUGGCUCGCUAGAGUGUGUCAGAGGAUGGUGGAAUUCCCGGUGUAGCGGUGAAAUGCGUAGAGAUCGGGAGGAACAUCAGUGGCGAAGGCGGCCAUCUGGGACAACACUGACGCUGAGGCACAAAAGCGUGGGGAGCAAACAGGAUUAGAUACCCCCGUAGUCCCUGUCUCUUAUAA
rnacentral:rRNA from 1 species